rnacentral:rRNA from 1 species
UACGAAGGGGGCUAGCGUUGUUCGGAAUUACUGGGCGUAAAGGGCGCGUAGGCGGCCCGCUCAGUCAGAUGUGAAAGCCCCGGGCUCAACCUGGGAAUUGCAUUUGAUACUGGCGGGCUUGAGUUCCGGAGAGGAUGGUGGAAUUCCCAGUGUAGAGGUGAAAUUCGUAGAUAUUGGGAAGAACACCGGUGGCGAAGGCGGCCAUCUGGACGGACACUGACGCUGAGGCGCGAAAGCUAGGGGAGCAAACGGG